rnacentral:lncRNA from 1 species
CUUGACUCCACUCAUUUCUUACAAAGAAGUUAUUUAAUUUGGGGAAAUAAAGGAGUUAAUUGUAGUGAUGCAAAAAAGACAAAAAGAACAUUAAUGAAACAUUUUUCUCUUCAAUAUACAGAUGAGAGCAGAAGGAAGUUCAAAAGGUGAAACAGACAAGCAAGACAUUGUUGGAAUUGAUACAAGCCAACAGCCAAUAGUCUUCCUUGCUAAUAAGAAGAUCUGUGUUUGAAUGAAGCCAUACAUAAGGGCUUUUCAUGGCAAGAUGCUUUGAAACACUAAAGGUAACCUGACUCCAGAGCCAGUGUUCUUUCCAUCCAACUGCACUGUCUAAGAGUUUUUCAUGAUGUCACAUGAAAGACAAGAUCCAUUUUUCAAUUUUAUUCUGAAGAGCAGAACUGGGACCAAAUAAGAAGAAGAUUCAGGGAGAGAGAACAUAAGUUACAUGAAGCAGGACAGUGCAGGAGAAAAGGUCAAAACAGAUUUCGUCCUGGUGGCAGCAAGAUCACAAAGGAGCACCCCAACUGUCUCCUUGCUUUUAUCUGGAGCAAGAGACACAAAAGAACUCCUUCAAAUGUUCCCCUGCCACGAAUUCCCAGGGUACAAUGAGAAGCCAAGCUGGCAGAAUAGAGACUCUAAGUUUGGGCUUUUACAGGGGGUACAUAACUUCUAUUUAUCAAUACACUAAGAAACCUCACCCCUUACCCCUCACCUCCUUCUCAGUUCCACCCCCAAAUGAAAAAGACUUUAGAUAAAGGAGCCAUGUAUAUUUAAAAAUGUUUUUAAGAGGACUGUUGUUUGUUUGUUACAGUACAGCUAUUUAUUAUUCUUCACUGUGGAGCAUUGAAUUCUCUCUUGUAACAAAGAAAAACCAACUUGAUAAUGUAAAUAGCCAUGUUGAUUAACGGUGCAUCAUUUCGUACCUAGCAUCCACCACUUCUUUAUUAAGAGGAGGGAAAGAGUUUCUUUUUUUUUCUCUCGAACUAUUUAAAUUUUAGUCCAUUUACCUUUUGGUCUUCCCAAUCAAGCUUUGACUGAAAUGCUUUUUGGUGUAGAAAGGUGGCAUAGUGAAUAGACUCAUCUUCCUAAAUUCAAAUCUAAACUUGGACAUUUACUAGUUGGGUGGACCCUGAACAAAUCACUUAACUCUAUUUGCCUCAGUUUACUCAUCUGUAAAAUGAGCUGGAGAAGGAAAUAGCAAACUAAUUCAGUAUCUUUGCCAAGAAAAUUCCAAAAGGGGUUAUGAAGAGUCGGACAUAACUGAAAAACAACUGAAUAUAUCAGGUGCUUUUCAGACUCAUAAGAAUACUGGAGUCAAAGUCCCCUGGCUCCAGAAAGCCAAUUAUUAAAUUUUCAGUGUGAUGAUUUUGACCUUAGAAAUCAGCAAAUCCUACAGAUGAAGGCUUGAUUGUUGUUGAUUUAAGAAAGUGAUGUGAAAAAAGUUAAUAAUAGAAAUUAAACUUAAUAAUGUAUAGUAUAUACACACAUAUAUGAUUUCCCUACCUAUGGCUAGUCAUUAAACAUUUACCAAAAUG